rnacentral:rRNA from 1 species
AUCUAUGGCCAUACAACCCUGAACGCCCCUGAACUUGUCUUAUCUCAGAAGCUGAGCAGGGUCAGGCCUGGUUAGUACUUCAAUGGGAGACUGCCUGGGAAUACCUGGUGCUGUAGGCU